rnacentral:tRNA from 1 species
GGAGGCGUGGCAGAGCGGCCGAAUGCACCGGUCUUGAAAACCGGCGACGGGCAACCGUCCGGGGGUUCAAAUCCCCCCGCCUCCG